rnacentral:rRNA from 1 species
AUUGAACGCUGGCGGCAUGCUUUACACAUGCAAGUCGAACGGCAGCGCGGGCUUCGGCCUGGCGGCGAGUGGCGAACGGGUGAGUAAUGCAUCGGAACGUGCCCAGUAGUGGGGGAUAGCCCGGCGAAAGCCGGAUUAAUACCGCAUACGACCUGAGGGUGAAAGCGGGGGACCGAAAGGCCUCGCGCUAUUGGAGCGGCCGAGGUCGGAUUAGCUAGUUGGUGGGGUAAAGGCUUACCAAGGCGACGAUCCGUAGCUGGUCUGAGAGGACGACCAGCCACACUGGGACUGAGACACGGCCCAGACUCCUACGGGAGGCAGCAGUGGGGAAUUUUGGACAAUGGGGGCAACCCUGAUCCAGCCAUGCCGCGUGCGGGAAGAAGGCCUUCGGGUUGUAAACCGCUUUUGUUCGGGAAGAAAUCCUCUGGGCUAAUACCCCGGGGGGAUGACGGUACCGGAAGAAUAAGCACCGGCUAACUACGUG